GGGCGCGGCGGUCGCUGC
rnacentral:snRNA from 1 species